rnacentral:lncRNA from 1 species
UAGGAAGUUGUUCAUUUUCCAUUCUCAAUUGAAAUAGAAUGUCUGCAGGAGAGGGCUUCCAGUAUUUAGGGCUACAUUGAUGCUUUCAGACUUAAUUGGAAAUAAAAUGCUCUAUUGGUUUAUUUCCUUUUUUCUUUUUUUGCAUUUUAGUUACCAUUAGAGAAUUGUCUGGAAUGAUCAUUAUUUCUGGAAGUUCUAACACAGGUAGCUUAAGAAGAAAUGCCUCUUAUUUAAUGUCAGAUAUCAUGAUUUUUUAAAGGGCUUCUUUGAUAAAGUAAUACCCCAAUAUCUUCUUCCAGUAUUCUAAAUUCCCAGCUUUUUUCAUUCUCCUCUUUCUUCCAUCAGAGGCCACCACUUCCACAGAAGGGACUGGCACUUCUGGAACUGGAUUCAAAACUGGCACCUCUGGGGUGGCACCUGGCACAACAGUUGCCCCUGGAAGUUUCAGCACAGUAACCACAACUUCUCCUGGAGCAAGCAGAACAACUGGGGCUGGACCCACUGCAGGUAAACACUGAUGAACCGCUAACUGCUUCGUAGUAGACAAGGUUGUCUGAA